GAUGAACGCUGGCGGCGUGCCUAAUACAUGCAAGUCGAGCGAACAGACGAGGAGCUUGCUCCUCUGACGUUAGCGGCGGACGGGUGAGUAACACGUGGAUAACCUACCUAUAAGACUGGGAUAACUUCGUGAAACCGGAGCUAAUACCGGAUAACAUGUUGAACCGCAUGGUUCAACAGUGAAAGACGGUCUUGCUGUCACUUAUAGAUGGAUCCGCGCCGCAUUAGCUAGUUGGUAAGGUAACGGCCUACCAAGGCAACGAUGCGUAGCCGACCUGAGAGGGUGAUCGGCCACACUGGAACUGAGACACGGUCCAGACUCCUACGGGAGGCAGCAGUAGGGAAUCUUCCGCAAUGGGCGAAAGCCUGACGCAGCAACGCCGCGUGAGUGAAGAAGGUCUUCGGAUCGUAAAACUCUGUUAUUAGGGAAGAACAAAUGUGUAAGUAACUAUGCACGUCUUGACGGUACCUAAUCAGAAAGCCCCGGCUAACUACGUG
rnacentral:rRNA from 1 species